UUGUACUUGAUACUGUCUGGUAGCCU
rnacentral:piRNA from 1 species